rnacentral:tRNA from 1 species
GGGCCAGUGGUCUAGUCUGGUAUGACGUCUCGCUUACACCGAGAAAAUCGAGAGUUCAAGUCUCUCCUGGCCCA